AUUGAACGCUGGCGGCAGGCCUAACACAUGCAAGUCGAGCGGAGCGGCGGACGGGUGAGUAAUGCCUAGGAAUCUGCCUGGUAGUGGGGGAUAACGUCCGGAAACGGGCGCUAAUACCGCAUCCUAUCAGAUGAGCCUCGGUCGGAUUCGCUAGUUGGUGGGGUAGAGGCCUAGAAGGGCGACGAUCCGUAACUGGGCUGAGAGGAUGAUCAGUCACACUGGAACAGAGACACGGUCCAGAGUCCUACGCGAGGAAGCAGUGGUGAAUAUUGGACAAUGGGCGAAAGCCUGAUCGACUCAUGCAGCGUGUGUGAAGAAGGUCUUCGGAUUGUAAAGCACUUUAAGUUGGGAGGCGUUACCAACAGAAUAAGCGCCGGCUAACUUCGUGCCAGCAGCCGCGGUAAUUC
rnacentral:rRNA from 1 species